GCCGAGGUGGCAGAAUCAGGCAAAUGCGCCAGACUUGAGGCAUUCCGCUUUCGAUGUGGAAGAUGGCUUGACCCUGAUUUAAUGAUGGACAAGGAGGUGGACCGAAGGAAAUCUGGUGUUCUCCGGAACGUUAGGGUUCAAAUCCCUACCUCGGCG
rnacentral:tRNA from 1 species